rnacentral:rRNA from 1 species
GACGAACGCUGGCGGCGUGCCUAAUACAUGCAAGUCGAGCGAAGUUUUUCUGGUGCUUGCACUAGAAAAACUUAGCGGCGAACGGGUGAGUAACACGUAAAGAACCUGCCUCAUAGACUGGGACAACUAUUGGAAACGAUAGCUAAUACCGGAUAACAGCAUUAACUGCAUGGUUGAUGUUUAAAAGUUGGUUUUGCUAACACUAUGAGAUGGCUUUGCGGUGCAUUAGCUAGUUGGUGGGGUAAAGGCCUACCAAGGCGACGAUGCAUAGCCGACCUGAGAGGGUGAUCGGCCACACUGGGACUGAGACACGGCCCAGACUCCUACGGGAGGCAGCAGUAGGGAAUCUUCCGCAAUGGGCGAAAGCCUGACGGAGCAACGCCGCGUGAGUGAAGAAGGAUUUCGGUUCGUAAAGCUCUGUUGUUAGGGAAGAAUGAUUGUGUAGUAACUAUACACAGUAGAGACGGUACCCAACCAGAAAGCCACGGCUAACUACGUG